GACGAACCGUGCGAACGUUGUUCGGAAUCACUGGGCUUAAAGGGCGCGUAGGCGGGCUGACAAGUCUGGGGUGAAAUGCCGCGGCUCAACCGUGGAACUGCCUUAGAUACUGACGGCCUCGAGGGAGAUAGGGGCAUGCGGAACUGUAGGUGGAGCGGUGAAAUGCGUUGAUAUCUACAGGAACUCCGGUGGCGAAAGCGGCGUGCUGGAUCUCUUCUGACGCUGAGGCUCGAAAGCUAGGGGAGCAAACGGG
rnacentral:rRNA from 1 species